GGCCUCAUCUCCCUUUCUGGAAGCUUCCCUUUUAUUACCAGGCCUGAACUAAUUUACUCACAUGACCUCCCAGUCAUAGAGCUACUCUCAUUUCCUGCACCUGGGGAGGCAGACAAGUCACAGGUGGGAAAAGGGCCAGUCAGGCUGUCACCUUGUGACAAUGCAAAGCACAGUUGCACUCAAGUUUGCCUGCUGUUUUGUACUGUGGGUCACUUUAUAAGAAAAAGUCUGUCACAUGGACUCAUCUCCCACCCCAACCCCUCUCUAAUCCCAGCUCUUGUUCUCAUAGGAUUGUAUUCUAUAAGGCCAUCAGGAGGCAUGCUUUUCCACAGGCUUUGCAAGAGGAUGGUACAAAAGCAGAGGCAAAGCUGAAACUGAAGGCAGGAGAGUGCUUAGACAGAAAAGCAGAUGGGUAACUCUAACCAUGUCUGGUGAUGAUAAUCACAAACUUUCCAAGAGGCCCUUCUAAACAUCAGCCAGGGGUAGAGGGGGUUGGCCAUAUUGUAAAUGCCUUAGGAUAAAUAUAAAGGGCUGAAGCUGCGGGUUCACUCAAAGGGUACCAGAAGAGAACAGCUAGCAGAAACCUCUGGACAAGACCCACUGCUCUGAGAAGGUGUCAAGGAAGACAGUGAAUGCUACUCAAGGAAAACUAUGAUACUCUGGAUUCUCUUCAUACACAACAGGUUUCAGAAACUGCUCCGUUAAGAACUUUUUAUGGUGUUGGUUUGUUCCCGUGGGCUCUUACAACUGUCACUGCACCAAACUCUUUCAUCCACUGACAGAGAAGGGAG